UCCUCACAAGGCACCCCAGACAUGGCAU
rnacentral:piRNA from 1 species